rnacentral:rRNA from 1 species
CUUAUUUUUACUUACCCUGUUGCUAAAGUGGUGUGGCGCUGUAUUGGGAUGGCAUUGGGUACAGACAGGUGUCCAAAUAACUACUGGCAAUACUAUGCUUGGUGCAACACUUUCCUCCCUGGUGGAGAGAAAUACUAUACCGUAGGCCUGGCUGCCACGUGUUGGGCUAUAUGGCUUGCUCGUAAUCGAGCUACCUUUGAAAAAAAUAUAUCAAAACACCUUUCGAUAUUGUUUUCUCCAUGUGUUCCUUUCUCAUUUAUUGGACAGGUCUUCAAAGCAAAGGAAGAGCCAAGGAGCUGCAGGGAGGCGCAGAGAUGA